UUAGUACUCCUUUUGUUCGGAAUUACUUGUCUCGGAUAUGGAUGUAUUUAGAACUAAAAUAUAUUUAGAUACAUUCAUUUCUGCGACAAAUAAUUCCGAACGAAGGGAGUACUAA
rfam:Triticum urartu cultivar G1812 contig1422628, whole genome shotgun sequence.